GGAUGCGAUCAUACCAGCACUAAAGGACCGGAUCCCAUCAGAACUCCGAAGUUAAGCGUGCUUGGGCGAGAGUAGUACUAGGAUGGGUGACCUCCUGGGAAGUCCUCAUGUUGCAUUCC
rnacentral:rRNA from 1 species